CAGUCGCCGCGGUAAUACAGAGGGUGCGAGCGUUAAUCGGAUUUACUGGGCGUAAAGCGUGCGUAGGUGGUGGUUUAAGUCCGUUGUGAAAGCCCUGGGCUCAACCUGGGAAUUGCAGUGGAUACUGGGUCACUAGAGUGUGGUAGAGGAUAGUGGAAUUUCCGGUGUAGCAGUGAAAUGCGUAGAGAUCGGAAGGAACAUCUGUGGCGAAGGCGACUAUCUGGGCCAACACUGACACUGAGGCACGAAAGCGUGGGGAGCAAACAGGAUUAGAUACCCGAGUAGUCCCUGUCUCUUAUAC
rnacentral:rRNA from 1 species